rnacentral:piRNA from 2 species
UCUACUUCCUUAUAUGAGGCCCACUGUCA